CCUACGGGGGGCUGCAGUGAGGAAUAUUGGUCAAUGGGCGAGAGCCUGAACCAGCCAAGUAGCGUGAAGGAUGACUGCCCUACGGGUUGUAAACUUCUUUUAUAAAGGAAUAAAGUUCGGCACGUGUGCCGUUUUGUAUGUACUUUAUGAAUAAGGAUCGGCUAACUCCGUGCCAGCAGCCGCGGUAAUACGGAGGAUCCGAGCGUUAUCCGGAUUUAUUGGGUUUAAAGGGAGCGUAGACGGGUUGUUAAGUCAGUUGUGAAAGUUUGCGGCUCAACCGUAAAAUUGCAUUUGAUACUGGCAGUCUUGAGUGCAGGUGAGGUAGGCGGAAUUCGUGGUGUAGCGGUGAAAUGCUUAGAUAUCACGAAGAACUCCGAUUGCGAAGGCAGCUUACUAAACUGCCACUGACGCUGAUGCUCGAAAGUGUGGGUAUCAAACAGGAUUAGAUACCCCGGUAGUC
rnacentral:rRNA from 1 species